GCUUAAAAAUCUUAGGGUUAAGACGAGACACCGAAACAUGGAAUUUAAAAUCAUUGGCCUGAGUGAGAAGCCCUGCAAUCAGCAAUAGUAUGUUCUUACUUCAGGAAAUUCUCCCCCACCCCCCUCUUAUUUCCUUGUUCUUUUACACUUUAAUAACUUCCUAACUUUGGUCUUACUUUGGGCUAAGCUUUUCAAUGAAAGUGAAAUGGUGACUGUGGAGAUGAAGGGCAAACUAGGGACAUUACUGUGUACGAUUAUUUCACUAUGUCUGUGCCAUAGAACUCGGGUAUUCUGCAUACCUGCCAUGCCUUGAUGUUGGCAAGCCCAAGCGGCCCAACUAUAUAUCUACCUCUGGAGCUCUGCUCGCUAGUUUCACUUCAACGGUACACAAAAUCAUUAUCCUCGAUGCAGAGGGCAUCUUUAGUUGAGAAAUCUAGACAGAAAGCUCAGGAAAGAAUACGUACACUGACUGAUGCUGUGAAAAACUACCGGUAUGAUGAUGACCCUGUGCUUACUGAGUGUCGUAUUUCUAUUGAGAAACAGUUGACACAGGUUGAUGGCCGUGUCCUAGAGGCUCCAAAGGUUUGAAUUUGUUUCUUUUGUUGAAAAUAUAUAUAUAUAUAUAUAUAUAUAUAUAUAUAUAUAUUGAUAGUGAAAAUCAUGGAGUAAUUCCUAGAAGGGCAUGCAUCAAGGAAGUGGGGGGUAGUAGCUUAGUGGGUAGUUAUUAUCCUUGUUUAUGUUAGUGCUACAUGGGUAGUUAGUAUUCAGCUGUUAUGUUAUGUUAGUGGGUAGUUAUGUGUUAUGGGCUAGUGUGUAUCACGGGUGGUUACUAAAUGUGUUGUGAGUAGUGGGUUGUAAGCCUAGUAUAAACCAAGAGUCCAGAGAUUAGUUGGGGUAUUGAAUUGUAAUCUGACUUGUGUCUUUGUGGUUUGUCUCCAACCCUUAAGUGGAGUUCAUUAUCUAUCACUUAUCUACAUAUUUCUGUUCAAUUU